rfam:Variovorax sp. Root473 contig_6, whole genome shotgun sequence.
GGAACUGUGACCGAGUGGCCGAAGGUGCUCCCCUGCUAAGGGAGUAUGGGGUGUAGAGCCUCAUCGAGGGUUCGAAUCCCUCCGGUUCCG